AUGAAAUGCUGGAGCAAUGCACGGCAAGCAUACGCCCUCCAGUGUCUUCCUCUGAAACCUUUGGGGCUGACACAAGACCCUUUAGUGUCCGGGAUGACCCCUCUCCUGCAGACCUCUUCCCCUGUUCCUAACGCAUGCAUGGAAGAGGUUUGUCAGGCUGGUUUCCCGAGCCUUCUCUCCACCUCAGCAUGAUACUCACUCUUGGGUUUAGCCUAGUGUUAUGUAGCAGAUUUCUCCAGCUGCAGGGAAGCAUCAGAGCACUUUUUUUCCUCCUAAGCCAGGACUGCACAAGGCAAUGGUCAAAUUUAGUUGAAUCCAGCCUAACCAUCCUUUGCUCAGCUCUAUGACUCAGCUCUACGCCAAGCGCAGGAGACACAGAGAUGGGUCAGUCUCAGCCCCUAUCCUCAGGAAGCCCGUGGUCAGGGGAACAUUGUAGGGGGAAGUAGUAGAGGGUAGGUCUCUUUAGGGCUCUUGGUGGCUGCUGGUCCUUAUGGUGCCUUGAUGUGAAUUAGAAGACGGUGCCCUUUCUGGGUGGAUUCAGACCCACACUAGACUGUGCAGCUUUGUGAGUGACACACAGGUUAGGUUUGGCACCCCUUGCACCAUGGCCAGGUGCCCUGCUGCAUGGCCAUGUGCUGUAGCCUUGAGGGACACACAGACUAAAGAGGCUGUGUUUCCUUCAGCCUCUUCCUGGAGAGGAAGGCCUGGGUCAUCUUUCCAAGCUUCUGGUCAGCUCCAAACACCGUCUCCCAGCCUCCGAACACGGCCGAGCAAGCGCUGCUCUGCAGAGCCCCUUUCCAUUCUGAAGUCAGCCUGCCCAGGUGAGACCUUGAAGUGAAACUAGGGGUGGGGGAGCUUCACUGGGCCCCCAGGCACCAGCCCACAGUAUUGAUGGUUUCUGUGCCAAGCAUUUGGGGUGGCAUAGAACUUUGCGCUGGCAAAGUCAUCCCUCACUGGGACAUUGCAGCGCUCCCUGUGGGUGGCAUGUGGAUAGCGGUCUGGGCAGGAAGGAAGAACAUGCCCCAGGGAAAACCCACCAAGCAGAGGGCCAGCUGGACCUCCUCAGCAUUUCACCGGGGGGAAGAGUUGAGUCCCCAUGAAGAUGAGGACUGAGUUAUUUGGCUGCACCCUCCUCAGCCUCAGAGCUCAGACCCGCUAGAGUGGGUUCACCUGGUUGUUGGUUUUGUGGGAGAGUUCCUGACAAGCUGGUUCCCAUGUGGUGCAGUCAGAGGAAUUCUGUCCUGGAAGUCCCCAGUGCUGCCUCUCAGUCCUGGCUGUCACCAACCACCUGGGGGACUUGGGCAAGCUACUCGACCUUUUGAGCUCAGUUUCCCUAACUGUAAAAUGGGACUGUAAUCCCUUCCCUGCCUGACGCAGGAAUUGUUAUGAGGCCCAGAUGAGAUGAAAGUCAGCGGUCGGGGCUCUGUACAUUGAAAAUGGCUGCACAGGUAUGGCCCUGCCACUGCAGGGAUGGCCCAAGGUCACACAGGAAGUUUGCUGCAGGAGGAGCCCUCCCCACCAGUCUUCAUCUCUUGCCCUACUUCUCACGUAGGCAGAUGUCAACAGAAUGAGAUACAGCCAGUUUGGCUUUGAUGACCCAGCUGAGAGUAGACACAAUUCAGGAAUAUCAUGCCCAAAAAUAGUGGUCCCAGCAACCAAGACACAGAGGGAAGACAUGGAUGCUGUCAGUGAUUGAUGGAUGGGGACAUCUUGGACCCUCCUCAGCCUGGUGUCACUCACAUCUUCCAUCUCUCAGACCCUACAGAGGCCAAGAGGCCUUGGCUCUGACCUCAGGUUAAAGAGCGCAUCCAGCUCCCAGGCUCAGGGAGUGGAAACCACCGCUAUUCCACCGCAGAAAUCUAAGGGCAAGGAGAAAUAGAAAUUGCUUGUUCCUUCCUUGAAAGUGUAAGGCCUCUUCCAGGAUCAACUGGAGCCACCACAGCUUCUCGGCGACAUUGGGAGGGCUUCGGGCCCAGGGAAAAUCCAAGCCUUUUGCCCUGAGAGCUGAGCCACAGGGGAUCCAUCCCCCAGUGGUGUCAGCGGCCCAGAGAAGUGGCUUCUCCUCUGCCAGUCACUGGGGAUGGAUGCUCCCCACCCAUUCAGGAGGAAGGGGUUAGGCCCCUGUCUUACACUCUUACAGGGUCUCAUGGACAUAGGCCUAUGCCUAUUCUGAUACAGAUAUUUUUUAAACUCAAUAAGGACCAAAACAGACCCCUGAACCCUCAUGUAUAUGGCCUGCAUUGGGCCUGGUGUUGUGUCCUCCUGGCCCAGGCAGCUCCAUGACUUCUGCCCUCCCUCCUGGACUAAAGUGGCAGGAUCCCCAUCUCUGCCUCUUCCCUACAGGGUCACUGCACAGCAGCUUCAAAGAGAGGCCCUGUUGAAGGGGAAACAUCUUCCCCGCAUCAUGCUCCCAAGUCCUCACCCCAAAAGAAGUUAAAGCACAGGUCCGUGGGACCCAUGGUUCGUAGACACCGACAGUGGUUUUCAAACCAGGUGCUGUGGAACCCCUGGUAUUCCACAGAGCUUUGUCAGGGGCUGCUAAGGUGGGAAGAUGGGAGUGGAGGCAAAGGAUAGGUUUCCAGCCCUCCUCCCAUUUCCACCUCCACCAGAACAACUCUGCUUUUAUGUCUUGCCAACUGAGAUUUCAUUUUCAAGCUUUCUUUGAAGAAAAACUUCAAACCACCAUCUUGAAGUUUGAUCUUAGACCAGCAAGCACAGGUUCUAUUCUUGCUGUUCAUGUUGGAAUGGCUCCAGCACUCCAGCAUUCCAGUACAAAGUGUCUUUGCAUUGGAACUUGGGUCACAGACCCAGGCCCAAUCAUUUACACACACACACACACACACACACAACACACACACACACACAAUUGAUGGUUUUUCUAGCCAACCCACCCUGAAGCUCUGGCCAAGGUUUGAUUUGGACAGGGGACUGGCCCUCAGUGGGGAUGGGUCCCAUGGGGAUUUGGCUCAUGAAGUAUGGGGAGCUCUGGAGCAAGGAAACAGCCUCAAUCCCCCGCCGAGGACUUGUGUCUGCAUCCCUGUGUGGGGCCCCACUUUCCUGGCCCAGGCCCAGUGGACAGCAGGAGAAGCAGGGUGAUGAGAGAGAGGCUAGGGUUAAAUUCAUCUUUACAUAAAGCCAGUAGGAUGGAAAUCUUGGCUUACAUAAAAGACAGACUCAGGGAGGAUUUUAUGACAAAAGUCCCUCCUUUGAUGGCAGGAUUCCCCCAGGAAUCCUGGACAUUUUGGUGAGACCUGGACCAGCCCUUGGCACAAAAUCCUGCCUGCCCUGUCCCCCACCCACCACCCCCAGGGAAUUCUAGGUGAAAAUGUGGAGCUCAGGGCACAGCAAGCGCAUGACAUGGGUCUACUACAUUGGUCUGAGUGUGUCCUUAGUUUCCCUGUGUGUAAAAUGGGGCUAGUGUCAGGCUCUUCCCACCCCACUGGGACGAUUGCAAGGGUCAUAGGAGAGGUGGAUAUGGUGGUCAUAUGAGGUGGUGAGUAUGAGAGGUAGGUGACUCACAAACUUGGGAUAUGGUCCUGACCUCUACGGUAGAUGAGCAGAGCACUUGGGAACUAGCAUAGGAAGUGCCGUCUUCUUGGGCAUCUCUGCUCAGUGUUAAGGUCUAGCUGCAGAUGCUGUGGGACCUGCCUCUUUCUAUGGAAUGGGAGCCUGCAUGGAUUGUGUCCUGGGGCGGGAGUGAGAGAUGGCUGAGAAGAGUCUCCAGGUCUGUGGCCCUUUUGUUGAGUGAUUAUUUUGUGCCACUCUCAUUCCUGGACCACCUGCCAGGUUUAUCUGUUAUACCUGUGGCAUUCUUAUUAUGUCAGACGAGUUAUUAUAGUUUAUUCAAUUCUAACAAAUGAACAAAAGAACAAUAAAUAGGAGGCCAUUAAAGGUCUUUUGUGACAGAG